rnacentral:miRNA from 3 species
UCACUGUUCAGACAGGCGGA